GAUGAACGCUAGCGGCAGGCCUAAUACAUGCAAGUCGAGGGGUAGAAGAGGCUUGCUUCUUUGAGACCGGCGCACGGGUGCGUAACGCGUAUGCAACCUACCUUCAUCUGGGGGAUAGCCCGGAGAAAUCCGGAUUAAUACCGCAUAAAAUCACAGGAUGGCAUUAUCCAAUGAUCAAACAUUUAUGGGAUGGAGAUGGGCAUGCGUGUCAUUAGCUAGUUGGGGGGGUAACGGCCCACCAAGGCGACGAUGACUAGGGGAUCUGAGAGGAUGGACCCCCACACUGGUACUGAGACACGGACCAGACUCCUACGGGAGGCAGCAGGAAGGAAUAUUGGGCAAUGGAGGCAACGCUGAACCAGCCAUGCCGCGUGCAGGAAGACUGCCCUAUGGGUUGUAAACUGCUUUUAUUCGGGAAUAAACCUUAUUACGUGUAAUAAGCUGAAUGUACCGAAGGAAUAAGGAUCGGCUAACUCCGUGCCAGCCGCCGCAGUAAAAC
rnacentral:rRNA from 1 species